CCUACGGGUGGCAGCAGUGAGGAAUAUUGGUCAAUGGACGCAAGUCUGAACCAGCCAUGCCGCGUGCAGGAAGACGGCUCUAUGAGUUGUAAACUGCUUUUGUACGAGGGUAAACGCAGAUACGUGUAUCUGUCUGAAAGUAUCGUACGAAUAAGGAUAGGCUAACUCCGUGCCAGCAGCCGCGGUAAUACGGAGGAUUCAAGCGUUAUCCGGAUUUAUUGGGUUUAAAGGGUGCGUAGGCGGUCGGAUAAGUUAGAGGUGAAAUCCCGGGGCUCAACUUCGGAAUUGCCUCUGAUACUGUUCGGCGAGAGAGUAGUUGCGGUAGGCGGAAUGCAUGGUGUAGCGGUGAAAUGCUUAGAGAUCAUACAGAACACCGAUUGCGAAGGCAGCUUACCAAGCUACUUCUGACGUUGAGGCGCGAAAGCGUGGGGAGCAAACAGGAUUAGAUACCCGAGUAGUC
rnacentral:rRNA from 1 species